rnacentral:rRNA from 1 species
AUUGAACGCUGGCGGCAGGCCUAACACCUGCAAGUCGAACGAGUAGCGGACGGGUGAGUAAUGUCUGGGAAACUGCCUGAUGGAGGGGGAUAACUACUGGAAACGGUAGCUAAUACCGCAUACCAUCAGAUGUGCCCAGAUGGGAUUAGCUAGUAGGUGGGGUAACGGCUCACCUAGGCGACGAUCCCUAGCUGGUCUGAGAGGAUGACCAGCCACACUGGAACUGAGACACAGUCCAGACUCCUACGUGAGGCAGCAUGGGGGAAUAUUGCACAACGGGCGCAAUCCUGAUGCAGCCAUGCCGCGGGUAUGAAGAAGGCCGUCGGGUUGUAAAGUACUUUCAGCGGGGAGGCGUUACCCGCAGAAGAAGCACCGGCUAACUCCGUGCCAGCAGCCGCGGUAAUUC